AGUAUAAUUUGAUAGCUGAAACGGUAGCAAAAUUAAAAAGAAACAGAAAACCAGCUGCAUAAACCAAGGGAAAAUAUAACUUCCUAAAAGCUCCAGACCCUUUCUUCUUCUAUUGUCCCCUGAGAUACAAUACUGUAGCCACAGCCUAGUUCGGCUGCUUCAACCACUCCUAAUCGUUCUCCACCGCCACCACGGCAAAUCUGGGCACACUUUGUAACAGAAGUCUUUUUCACUCUUUACUCCUCUUCUUCCUUCUCUAUUUGCUCUAGCCGCCGCCUUCACUCCACUAUGCAGUAAAUCAUUGUCGACGUCCCUCAGGUCAACUGAUAUCACCAGAUAAUGGAUACUUCAAAGAUCGGAGUUCAAAAGCUUGAUUUUGCUAGUGCAAUACUGUAAGUGUAACUUUAUUAUUUUUUUUGUUUGUUAAUUUUCCGCUUUAAAUGUUACCGUUUAAGACGGGCAGGGAAAAGCCCGGCUACCUGUUCUUCUCAGGCUGUCUUUCAACAUCCUCUAUUGAAUCUCAAGUACUAGGCUAUUUUAUCCAAA